rnacentral:rRNA from 1 species
UGUAGUGGGGGACAACUUAGGGAAACUUAAGCUAAUACCGCAUACGCCCUUCGGGGGAAAGCGGGGGACCUUCGGGCCUCGCGCUAUAGGAUGAGCCUGCGUUGGAUUAGCUGGUUGGUAGGGUAGAGGCCUACCAAGGCGACGAUCCAUAGCUGGUCUGAGAGGACGAUCAGCCACACUGGGACUGAGACACGGCCCAGACUCCUACGGGAGGCAGCAGUGGGGAAUAUUGGACAAUGGGCGCAAGCCCGAUCCAGCAAUACCGCGUGUGUGAAGAAGGCCUGAGGGUUGUAAAGCACUUUCAAUUGGGAGGAAAAAGGCAAGCCCAAUACGCUUGCCCUUGACAUUACCUUUAGAAGAAGCACCGGCUAACUCCGUGCCAGCAGCCGCGGUAAUACGGAGGGUGCGAGCGUUAAUCGGAAUUACUGGGCGUAAAGCGUGCGUAGGCGGCCUGUUAAGUCAGAUGUGAAAGCCCUGGGCUCAACCUGGGAACGGCAUUUGAAACUGGCAAGCUAGAGUUAGGUAGAGGGGAGUGGAAUUCCGGGUGUAGCGGUGAAAUGCGUAGAUAUCCGGAGGAACACCAGUGGCGAAAGGCGGCUCCCUGGACCCAAACUGACGCU